rnacentral:rRNA from 2 species
GAUGAACGCUGGCGGCGCGCCUAACACAUGCAAGUCGAACGGUUAAAGCACCUUUUAGGUGUGUAUAAAGUGGCGAACGGCUGAGUAACACGUGGGCAACCUGCCCUCCUCUUGGGGAUAGCCUCGGGAAACCGAGGAUAAUACCCGAUACUUCAAUGUGGCCGCAUGACGACAUUGAGAAAGCUUUUGCGGAGAAGGAUGGGCCCGCGGCCUGUUAGCUUGUUGGUGGGGUAGAGGCCUACCAAGGCAAUGAUGGGUAGCUGGGUUGAGAGACCGACCAGCCAGAUUGGGACUGAGACACGGCCCAGACUCCUACGGGAGGCAGCAGUGGGGAAUCUUGCACAAUGGGCGAAAGCCUGAUGCAGCGACGCCGCGUGCGGGACGAAGCCUUCGGGUUGUAAACCGCUUUUCAGCAGGGACGAGGCGAAAGUGACGGUACCUGCAGAAGAAGCCC